AGUGAACGCUGGCGGUAGGCCUAACACAUGCAAGUCGAACGGCAGCACAGUAAGAGCUUGCUCUUACGGGUGGCGAGUGGCGGACGGGUGAGGAAUACAUCGGAAUCUACUUUUUCGGGGGGGAUAACGUAGGGAAAGUUACGCUAAUACCGCAUACGACCUACGGGUGAAAUCAGGGGAUCUUCGGACCUUGCGCGAUUGAAUGAGCCGAUGUCGGAUUAGCUAGUUGGCGGGGUAAAGGCCCACCAAGGCGACGAUCCGUAGCUGGUCUGAGAGGAUGAUCAGCCACACUGGAACUGAGACACGGUCCAGACUCCUACGGGAGGCAGCAGUGGGGAAUAUUGGACAAUGGGCGCAAGCCUGAUCCAGCCAUACCGCGUGGGUGAAGAAGGCCUUCGGGUUGUAAAGCCCUUUUGUUGGGAAAGAAAAGCAGCAGGUUAAUACCCCGCUGUUCUGACGGUACCCAAAGAAUAAGCACCGGCUAACUACGUG
rnacentral:rRNA from 1 species